UACGUAGGCAGCGAGCGUUGUUCGGAGUUACUGGGCGUAAAGCGUGCGUAGGCGGUUUUGUAAGUUUGGUGUGAAAUCUCCCGGCUUAACUGGGAGGGUGCGCCGAAAACUGCAAGGCUGGAGUGUGGGAGAGGUAGGCGGAAUUCCUGGUGUAGCGGUGAAAUGCGUAGAUAUCAGGAGGAACACCUGUGGUGUAGGCGGCUUACUGGACCAUGACUGACGCUGAGGCACGAAAGCGUGGGGAGCAAACAGG
rnacentral:rRNA from 1 species